rnacentral:rRNA from 1 species
GAUUAACGCUGGCGGCGUGCAUAACACAUGCAAGUCGAACGAUGAAACUUUAAUGAACCCUUCGGGGAGAAUUAAAGCGGAUUAGUGGCGUACGGGUGAGUAACGCGUGAGUAACCUGCCUUACACAAGGGGAUAGCCUUUGGAAACGAAGAAUAAUACCCUAUAAAACCAUAAAAGCACAUGCAAUUAUGGUCAAAGUGAUAGCGGUGUAAGAUGGACUUGCGUCUGAUUAGCUAGUUGGUGAGAUAAAAGCCCACCAAGGCAACGAUCAGUAGCCGGCUUGAGAGAGUGUACGGCCACAUUGGGACUGAGACACGGCCCAGACUCCUACGGGAGGCAGCAGUGGGGAAUUUUGCACAAUGGGGGAAACCCUGAUGCAGCGACGCCGCGUGAUUUAGAAGGCCUUCGGGUUGUAAAAAUCUUUUGUAUAGGAAGAAAAUGACAGUACUAUACGAAUAAGGUCCGGCUAAUUACGUG